rnacentral:other from 15 species
UAAAGGCUGCAUUGUUCGUAUAAUAUUAAGUUUUAACCUUUAAGCUGUAAAAGGGAGUUUUAUUAUUGGAGUUGGAAUGACGGGCCUCACACUACUGUGCAUGAGGAUAAGCAGGAAAACUUCUGCGAACACCCACUUUGAGGAGUGGUGGUUUAAAACUUUCUAUAAUAACUACGGCAUACGCGGCUUUUUA